rnacentral:lncRNA from 1 species
UUUUUUUACUAAUGUUUCAUGAGACUAUCAAGUAUAAUUAGCAUACGUAUCGAGUUAGCUCUUUCAUGCAGAUUAGCAAGUGCCGGCAUCCGAAAAAUAUAGUUCAAGGCUAGUUCAUUUGAAUUUUAUUUGAGAAGGCUAGUUCGUUUUAUUAGCAUGUAACUUACUGGAGCCAAAAAAGUACAUGUAUGUUUUUCUCUUGGCCCACAAAUAUAAAAUUCUG